rnacentral:rRNA from 1 species
ACAGCAGCAGCCGCGGGAAUACGAAGGGGGCUAGCGUUGUUCGGAUUUACUGGGCGUAAAGCGCACGUAGGCGGAUCGAUCAGUCAGGGGUGAAAUCCCAGAGCUCAACUCUGGAACUGCCUUUGAUACUGUCGAUCUGGAGUAUGGAAGAGGUGAGUGGAAUUCCGAGUGUAGAGGUGAAAUUCGUAGAUAUUCGGAGGAACACCAGUGGCGAAGGCGGCUCACUGGUCCAUUACUGACGCUGAGGUGCGAAAGCGUGGGGAGCAAACAGGAUUAGAUACCCGUGUAGUCCCUGUCUCUUAUAC